rnacentral:tRNA from 1 species
ACCCAAAUAAUUUAAAUAAAAAUAUUAGUUUGUGGAGCUAAAAAUGUAAGUUGUUACUUUGGGUA